GAUGAACGCUGGCGGCGUGCCUAAUACAUGCAAGUCGAGCGAACAGAUGAGGAGCUUGCUCCUCUGACGAUAGCGGCGGACGGGUGAGUAACACGUGGAUAACCUACCUAUAAGACUGGGAUAACUUCGGGAAACCGGAGCUAAUACCGGAUAAUAUAUUGAACCGCAUGGUUCAAUAGUGAAAGACGGUUUUGCUGUCACUUAUAGAUGGAUCCGCGCCGCAUUAGCUAGUUGGUAAGGUAACGGCUUACCAAGGCAACGAUGCGUAGCCGACCUGAGAGGGUGAUCGGCCACACUGGAACUGAGACACGGUCCAGACUCCUACGGGAGGCAGCAGUAGGGAAUCUUCCGCAAUGGGCGAAAGCUUGACGGAGCAACGCCGCGUGAGUGAUGAAGGUCUUCGGAUCGCAAAACUCUGUUAUUAGGGAAGAACAAAUGUGUAAGUAACUAUGCACGUCUUGACGGUACCUAAUCAGAAAGCCACGGCUAACUACGUG
rnacentral:rRNA from 1 species